CUUGCCCGCUGGCGGCAUGCUUUACACAUGCAAGUCGAACGGCAGCGCGGGCUUCGGCCUGGCGGCGAGUGGCGAACGGGUGAGUAAUGCAUCGGAACGUGCCCAGUAGUGGGGGAUAGCCCGGCGAAAGCCGGAUUAAUACCGCAUACGACCUGAGGGUGAAAGCGGGGGACCGAAAGGCCUCGCGCUAUUGGAGCGGCCGAUGUCGGAUUAGCUAGUUGGUGGGGUAAAGGCUUACCAAGGCGACGAUCCGUAGCUGGUCUGAGCGGACGACCAGCCACACGGGGAAGGGAACACGGCCAAGAGUCCUGAGGGAGGACGCAGUGGGGAAUUUGGGACAGUGGGGGCAACCCUGAUCCAGCCAUGCGGCGUGCGAGAAAGAGGCCUCGGGGUUGUAAACAGGUUUUGUUGGGGAAGAAAUCCUUUGGGCUAAUACCCCGGGGGGAUGACGGUACCGGAAAAAUAAGCACCGGCUAACUACGUG
rnacentral:rRNA from 1 species